rnacentral:lncRNA from 1 species
GUUUUUUGGAAGAAUACAUCAUGGAAGGGUCUUAAUAUGUGGCAGGGCUCUUAAAUUUAUUUUAAUGUAUUCAAAUUAAGUAUUUUUAAACUGUUGAGUCCAAAGUGAAAAAUUUGGGAAACUUGACAGCUAUCAAUGCUAGGUGGCAUAUUGACCUUAACUAGGAAAUGCUGUUUCUUUGAAAAAGGAAAUAGAAAUGCCCUAUGGCUGUUUCUAGCCUAAAAAACUUUGUGGGGUUCAUUCAAGGCUCUAGAUAUAAUAAAAGGCUGAGAAAACUGAAUAGUGGUAGACAGCAGAGUUCCUGUAAAUUGGACACAAAUAACCAGAGGAGCUGGCCUGUCUCUGUUACCAAAACAGCUCGGGUCCUUUGGGAAGAAAAAGCAAUUUGUUUGGCAGUCCUGCUGAGGGCAUUGCAGACCACAUAACUGAGGAGGAAGCAUGUGUGAUCGGGAACAAAUGUUCUAUGACAUUCUGAGUGGA